GUUGGUGGGACUGGCAUCGGUGGUUUCCCAGGUCUGAGGGGAGACCCGGGGCCUGAAGGACUGCGGGGAUUCCCGGGCAUGUUGGGACCUCAGGGCCUGAGUGGACGAGCCGGCCUGCCUGGAUUGAAAGGGUGAAGUGGGACAACGGGGUGAACCAGGAGAGAUGGGGUACCAAG